GUGUAAUCGAGACCGUUGUUGAGUCUGUCUGUCAGGAAAACCCAGAAAAAAAAGAGUCUCAACUGACCUGCCUGGACUCGGCUUUUCCGUAGCGCAGCUCGUUUGCAAAGUGCUCACAGUUCCCCCUGAAGACACAGUACGGCAGCUCGCCGCCAACCAUCGCACAGGCAUCCCUCACAAUGACGCCAGCCUGGCGGGGCUUGUACUCAUCGUCCAGGCUGUUGUUGAUUUUCCACUGGUUGGUUCCCACCACAUCCCACAGCUCUUCUUUCUUCACCAUGGCCUUCUCAGAAAAAACAGACAUCAUACUGUUGGCGCCGGCACCCGGGACCUCAGCUAUCAAGUAAAAGGAGAAGAAAGAAAGAAAGGAGAGAAAAACAUUACUUAUUUAUUAUUACAUUACAAAAUAUUUUCUGUUUUUUGAGCAGUUUAUGAAUUAUGAACAAAUAAUCUAAUCCGAUUACUGCAACUCAUUGUUA